rnacentral:lncRNA from 1 species
UCUCGCAUCAGUCCUACCACAUUGAUAAAAUUCUUAUAUAGUUUCUUGGGGGGAGUCACAUUGCUUGAUCUUAGAAACAAACUAAAGCAACUUUUUCUCUUGAGUGGUCACCUCACAACACAAUAAAGAUCAUAUUUCAAAAUCAACAUUGUCAGAUGAAUCUACUAUUGAGUUUACAUUUUAACCUAUUUCGUUUCUAAUCAACAUGAACCUGGUAAACUUAGGUAACAUAUGAAAUGACAAUUCUCCAACAUAAACCGAUGUCCUAUAAUUAUCUCACAAAUUCAGCUAUAAUAUUUUAUAAGAAAAGACUUUUGAUUUAGUAUACAAUGUAUACAACAGAGACAACUAUAAGACAAUGUGAAUGGGGCAAGGCGUUGGGGUCCUUUUUGUGCUACAAUGUUUCCCACUAUUGUGAACAACCUAACAUGGACUCUUCUUGCAUCAAAAUUGUACUACUCUCAUUUAUUUAUUUUAUAAAUUGAGAAAAAGGAAACUAAAGGUGAGCACUAAAAGUCGUGGUGUCUUAGGUGCAGGAGGUCGAGAUUAUCGCGUGGCGGGCUAUGGGCAGCAGCGACUAUUUCCGAUCAUUGGCCUCUACUAAGUCUUAAAAUUUGCUAAGUUAAUUCUCUUAUGGCUCUUGGGCAGUUGGUAGUCUUUUAUAGAUUAAGUUUCGGCUUGGAUCCUUUUGUUUUGUUUGCCGUAAGUUGCCCCGGUGUGGGUUCUAGUUGCCGCCUUCAUGUGGGCUUUUGUGUCUGGGGAUUGUUCAUGCAUCCGCCGGUUUAUGUAUUGAAUCAUGUAUGUUUCUUUUGAAUGAUAAGUACUUUUGCGGAAAAAAAAAAAAGGUGAGCACUAAAAGUCAUAAAAGAAUUCCAAGAAUCCCAUGUAAAAUUAUUUAUUUAAAAGCAACUCACUGUUCUUUUCUUUUUUUUUCUCGCUUUCUUUAGCUUCCUAUUUCUUUUACUGAAAUCUCAUUAAUAUUUGCAAAUAACAAAUGUGAAAGAUAUUGGCGAGAUACAUUGCUGGCAGGUUACAAACUUCUUGAGAUAAAACCCCAUUAAAACGAGAGGACGUCCCCAACCCAGAAAAACUAUUAAAAACUAAAACAAUAAAAAAUGAAAUACUAUUAUUUUGAAAAUAGUGAUAAAAGGCUAUUUUGACCCUUCUCCCAUCUUUUAAUGGCUUUUAUCAGAUUCAGACCACAUGCCAACAAAGAAGUAUGGU